CUUUACAUUCAACUGCCACUAUUGGUAUCUUUUGGUCUAUUUUAAAAACCUUCUGAAUUUCACUUAUAUCAUCAUUUUUGGUAAAACACUUACAUCAUCCUUAUUCCUUAUGCUAAUGGUAUUAUGGGAUUUUUUUUUGGAACCAAUGUAUUACAUUAAGUUCAAAAAAAAAAAAAAAAAAAAAAAACCAAUGUAUUACAUUUAGCUUCGUGCUUUUGUAAUAUCAGCAAGAUUAUUGAAGAAGCACAGUAUCAAUCUUACAUUGUCGUC
rnacentral:lncRNA from 1 species